GUGCUCACUUUGGCAGCACAUAUACUAAAAUUGGAACAAUACAGAGAUUCACAGGGUCCCUGUGCCAGGAUGACACACGAAUUUGUGAAGCAUUCCAUAUUAAA
ensembl:snRNA U6 U6 spliceosomal RNA